AGGAAAGAAUCCUGAAAAAUGAUGAUCCUUACAAUACACAUUCUGUUUUUCAAUAAAAGGUUACCAUCUAGCAAGAGAAAGAAGCAUGCUAACAUUACUCACAAUAAAUGUGAUAUAUAGUCUAAAAGACAGAAAUAAAAGUCCGGAGGAAUACAGAACUGGGGUAAAUGGGUAGUUCUGUCAAAGGCCACUGUGGAAGGUGUAUAGUGAUGUCUUCUUAUCUGGACAUUGUAAUGGGGAAUUUGUUGGCAGAUUGCUUGGUUUGGUAUCAUUAA
rnacentral:lncRNA from 1 species